CUUGCCUCUUGGUCUGGGACAACUGUUGGAAACGACAGCUAAUACCGGAUAUUAUGAGAUUCUCGCAUGGGAAACUUAUGAAAGCUAUAUGCGCCAAGAGAGAGCCUUGCGUUCCAUUAGCUAGUUGGUGGGGUAACGGCCCACCAAGGCGACGAUGGAUAGCCGGCCUGAGAGGGUGAACGGCCACAAGGGGACUGAGACACGGCCCUUACUCCUACGGGAGGCAGCAGUGGGGAAUAUUGGACAAUGGGCCACAAGCCUGAUCCAGCAAUUCUGUGUGCACGAUGAAGGUCUUCGGAUUGUAAAGUGCUUUCAGUUGGGAAGAAGAAAGUGACGGUACCAACAGAAGAAGCGACGGCUAAAUACGUGCCAGCAGCCGCGGUAAUACGUAUGUCGCAAGCGUUAUCCGGAUUUAUUGGGCGUAAAGUGCGUCUAGGCGGAAAAAUAAGUCUGAUGUUAAAAUGCGGGGCUCAACUCCGUAUUGCGUUGGAAACUGUUUUUCUAGAGUACUGGAGAGGUGGGCGGAACUACAAGUGUAGAGGUGAAAUUCGUAGAUAUUUGUAGGAAUGCCGAUGGAGAAGUCAGCUCACUGGACAGAUACUGACGCUAAAGCGCGAAAGCGUG
rnacentral:rRNA from 1 species